GCUGCCGCAGAGAAGGAGUACACGCUCGCCUCUGCCGUCCCGUGUCGGGCCUGGCGUGGCCGCCGUGGGGCGCGGCCUCCGUGCAGGCACACGGGCACGGCGCGGGGGGGGCAGACUCAAUUGGGGCAUACACAAAAAACCACCCGCGGCCCACCCACAGGGCUCCGGGCCUCGGACCGCCACUGCCCACGCAAGUUCAGAGGGACAGCAAACACGGGGCAACGAGGACUGCCAUCUUGGGCCUGGCUCCUCUUUCCUCGUAGGCUGGGCACCAGCGGGCUCCAUAGGGCCCCUGUCCUUUCAGGAGAUGAGAGGGGCACACCAAUGGCAGUCAAGACCCCGUGGAGGACUAUGUUUCCUCCCAGGACACUCUCUGGGCAGUCCUCUUGUUUUCUAUGAUCCGAUCCCUGCCACCCCGUAGGGUACACAGGGCGAGGGCCUCCGGAGACAGAAGCUGCUGACGGGAAAGCUGGGCAGGGCGGCAGAGUGGAUGGGUGCAGGAGGAAGGCCCUGCACUGGGAGGCCUACAGGGAGGCCCUUGCUACUUGCCCUCCAGCUCGCUGCAAACUCCGGGCAGAAGGCAGCGGCCCCCAGGGGCUACGAGCUGGAAAACUCAAUCCAGGGAAGGCACGGACGGCAUCCGUGUUCUGUCCUGCCCAUGCUGUCCCCCUAGUGCCGAAGGGACAUGCUGAUGUCUCUGUCAUCUCAGAAGGGGCACGGUGUGGCUGCUGGCCCAAAGCCUCAAAUCCCAAGAGCGGCAGCUCCGGGGACAUUCAAUUUGGCUGAGUGGCCCAGCUGGGAGGCAGUGUCUGCCUGAUGCCUGCUCAGAGUCUGUGCUGAGAGGCUUGGACACAAAAGCCUGGUGUAAAGAUGGCUGCAAGGCCAGGACAAGCCCAGGGAGAAGGCAUUUCUGGCCACCGCAUGAGAGAGAGACCGGGCUGGCCAAAGCAUCACCUUGCUGACCUGCUCCCGAGGCUUCAAGGCAGGCCGUGGCCCAGCACAACUACUGACUAUCCGGGCAGAGCCCCCGGCGGGUGGGAAGACAGGGCAGGGAACCAUGUGGACGCGCUGGGCAAGUCGGUCCCUGCGCAACGCUUUCUGCAGCACUGCCUGUCCACCCCUGGUCCAGGACCCUGGUGAUGAGUGCUGCUCACAGUACUAGCAGGAGAGCCGGGGAUGAACAGAGACAGGGAAGGCGUCCUGGAAGUAUGGCUGGGUGAGAAAGUCCAGUGCCAUGAGACACGAACUCAUUUAUAUAUUUACAUAAAACCGCCCGCCUGCACACACCUUCAUUUGAGGGCGCGUGAGCAAAAUGGGGCGCACAGAGGGGACUACAGUCUGUGAAGUCUGCUGCCACCCCUACAACCAGCAGUGCCGGGCCGCGGGGUGCCUGGAACCGGGCCGCAGACCCAUGCCCCGGCAAGGGUGCUGCCAGCUCACCCAGGCCCGUGACAGUGCCUUCCUGCCUCUGGAACAGCCUGCAAGAGCCGGGAAGGUGGGGUGCACAUGUGUUGGGCGUGGGAGGAAUUAGCUGAAGCCAAAGGCGUGACAGGUAGCGCUCGGGAGCCUACUGGUGUGUUGAGAGGACAACUUCAGCAGCAAGAAACCACCCACCACAUGACAGGAGACACGUGGCCGCAUCCUGGGGGACAGACAGCACAGGACUGCCGCUGCUCCUUGCCAGGACAGCACAAGGAGCCAGCGCUGGAGGUGAUUAGCCUGUCUGUGUGCUCAGUGUCACCUCUGUGGCUCUGGAGACAGCAAUCUGGAGCGAGGACAGCCCUAGGCACUGUCACCCAACAGCAAGCAUGUGGGGGCUUCUGCCCAGCAUGGAGCCACCCCAGCAGUGCCGCCCACACGCCCAUUCAGUCAAACCAGAGAGGGACACGGUGCGGGGGUGGGGAAAGCAUGCACCAAGCAGCAGUAUCUCCAGGACCUGGGCAGAGGGCAGUGCUGUGUGAUCUAACCCCGGACGUAUUCGUCUAACCACACCGAGCACACAGCCCCCACGGCUCACCAAUGUGUUGCCCUCCCAAGCAGGCGGCCCGCCGCUCGCUCUGGAGAUGACAGAUGGCCCAUUCGGGAGAGUGGAGCCAGCCCUGCCGUGGCCCUGGGGGUGACGGUGGGCAGAGAACAAAGUCCAGCCCCGUGCCUUCCGCGAGCACACUCCAAUGUGGGAAACCUGACUUGCAAUGGAGGAAGUCCUCCCCAUCUCAAAGAACGCGCUCUUGUGCGCUCGUGCUGAGCAUGCCCACGCAGGACCGCCUCGGGGCAGCGUAGGCCUGGGGCUGGCAUCGCUCCCGUCCCCUGCUUCUCACCCCGGCGCAGCGGCCUGGCCUCUCCAGCAGGAAACUCAGAGUCCCUAUUUGUGAGUGUUCGUUGUACUACUGAGGUAAUGACGGCCACCACCACUGACAACUACUGAGGCUCAUGCUGCCAACAGCCUGGGACCAUUCCAGGGAAGAGUACCCGUGCGCCAGGAAGAGCUGAAAGUAGGGCAGAGAGAGCUUUGCCAGAAACCCGCCCCGUCUAGGGCGCCGCCCCAUCUAGGGCGUGUGAUGGGCCGGAAAGGCAUCAGGCUGGGUCUGCAGCCAACUCCAGCUGCACUGCCUUCUCCAAAGCCCCGUCUCUCUCUGGGAAUCAGGGACAAAGCCGCGCUGUGACCUCAGAGCAAGCCGCACCCCAUUUUCUCGGCGACACGACCUUGGAAAUGGGAACAUCGCACAAAAGAUCUCAUUUCUCAGUCAACAGAUGGUCGGGGUGCUUCUGGCUACAGUGACAAAAGCUAAUCUCAAACCAAAGGAUUAUGAGCCACAACAGAGACUCACCUGUAACAGACUGCCCCGAGCAAAACCAGACCCUGCUGGCGGCCAGCCCUGCCUGGCCCCUCACGAGCACCUACCCGGCCUGUUUCCCUGCGUCGAUCGGACACACGCUACAUGGGGCUGCCAGCGGCCAAGACACUGCAAAGGCAGUUGCCUCACUACAGCCGCGGGGGACAACAGGCCUGCCACUCACCUGCCUUCUGCUCCGAGGGCCCAGCAUCCCGAGAUCCUGAUGCCAGGGUCCUCAGCCUCCUUUCCAGCUUUCCUCCUGGCUUCUAACAAGACGGAGGCUCAGGGAAGAGAAGAUUCCAGAUGUGGCUCACACACCUGAAGAGGGGCCGCUCCUGGCCGCCCAGGUAACAAGGGUGCGUCUGCCUCCCUGUCCAGAGGCACUCGGAGGCAGAACUGAACUGUCCAACUUUGCCCACAAGCGCUUCCCCCUCCUGCUCCCUGGCCUGGACAAGCGGGCAGGGCCUGGCCCACACUUGGGAGGCUGGAGCUGUCCUGGACAGGGCUGCAGAGUUGGGGCAUGCAGCACCAGGGCCUUCACUGGUGCCUGACACUCUGUCCAGGUUUAGGAAGUUUGCUGGAUGAGUCAAAUGAGGCUGGAUGGAGGAGGGAGGAGCCAGGCCCCAGUGGACCCCAGACUGCUCAGAGACAGAGGUGUCAGGGGAGUAUUCUCAGGGCAGGUAGAACGCUGGGGGGCUGCAGCCUUAAAGGAGCCAAAAACAGGCUCCAGAGACUUGCACAGCCCCUACCCCAUUACCCUGGAAACCUCCCUGCAGAAGUCCCUCGUUCCUGCUGCUCUGGGCGGGUCCAGCCAGCCUCCCUCCAUUCCCAUAGCUGCAAACCCACCUCCACCAGGACCGCACCAGGAGACAGCCCCAGGGGUUCACUGUUAUCACCACCAUUCUCAUUUACCCAUCAGCAUGUCCAGUGCUAAGGGAGUUGGAGUCUCUGUCCUCAUGGAGCUAACCCUCUAGAGGGGCAAGCAGACAAAACACAAGGGCAAAGUGGACAAACCAUACCAAUGCGUCCGCAAUGAUGUGGAAGAAGCUGGAAGGGUGGUCAGGGAGAGCCUUAGCUCAGGGGCACUGGCACAUACACCUAAAAUGCCAACCAGACCCAGCUCCGGGGCCCUUGGGGGGUGUGCAGGGACUGUGGGGGCAGCACAGAGGAACAGCCCUCAGGACACCAGCCAGCAUCAAGGGACAACCGUGAAGUCCAGAGGCAGUUCCAGGGUAGACCCCAUGGGCCUCUGGAGAAAGCGUGCUGGAGUCUCCACUUAUGGCUCCCAGGUCCUGGCUCUCUUCCUACGACCUAUGCUUCCCUGGACAUCAUGGGGGGGCACCCAAGCCCACUACAUGAUUCUGCACGCAGGAUGGGGCCCUGACUGCAGCUGCCACCUAUCUGUGUCCUCAGGGAGUGCUUUUCUCAAGGGCCUACCUAGCUUUAUCCUCUCUGAUCUUGGGCUACCUCAAAGAUUCUUUGGAACAAGCAGGUGUCACAGACUCAAGUCCUACAAGACUCACCCUGUGCCAGGCAUAUAGUCACUUUUUGCCGGGAAGGUGUGAGAUGGGAAGGACACACAAUGCUCCUCAGGGCCUGGGCAGCCUCCUGCGAUCUGGCGGCUCCUGAAGGAGAGCUGUCAUCGCAGGGCAGCCUCGCCUCAUCCCUUACCCCUCCCCCCCUCCCGCCCCUCUCCUCCCUCCAAGAAAGAGGUUGCCCUGGCACCCAGACCAUUCUGGAGGAAUCCAGGCACACAGCAUUUCUGCCUUGGAGAGAUCACCCAAGUCCCGAGAUGAGAUGCCCGGGCUGGAACCGUGGUUUCCUUGGACCCCCACAACCUGCGGCCCUCGCAGAGCCUUCCUGAAUCGACAGUUUAGACCCGGAAGUGCAGGGGGCUGCUCCGGAUCGCGGCUCAGCCACCGCCCCCUGGUGGGCCUGGCCCCAGGAGCUCAGUAGGAGCCCAUUUCCUCUUGGCCUCUUCCAUCUCCCCAGUCAGGGUGACAAAAUGGCCCUGCCCCCGCUCUACCCUUCCAACUUCAACUCUUGCAAAGCCUCCCCAGAGCCUGGCGGCACGGCACAACAGGUGGGGCAGGCAGAAGGCGGCAGGCACGAUCUACCCCAGACUCACGAACCCUGGCCUCUUAGGUGGAGCAGAGCCUGAGUCCCGGCGGAUUCCAGAACACACUGACCACCUCAGAUGCUCCAGCCCAGGGGCCUUCCCCGUCCCCUCGGGACAGACAACAAAGUCCACGCCAGCUACGUGCAGAAUCCGCUUUAUCCGCAGAACCUCGGACUGGGCGCCCGGCAGGCCCUGCCCAUCAACCCGGUGCCGCCGGCCAUCGAGGAGCGGCGGGGCGGACACGGUCUCACCUCCGGGCUCAGCGCCGCCGGCCCCGCCAGGCCCGGAGGAACCUCCCACCGCGGCCGGGGGCCCCCCGCGUGUCCAGACCCAGCCCGUCGAGGUCGCCCUGCCCGCACCGCGGGCUCCGGCUCACACGGCGGACGCGAGAGGGCGUGCGCGGCCCCCAGCCCGUGCUCGGCGGGGCGCGCCUACCGGUCCUCGCACGAGGCCUCGCUCCUCUCCGCCGGCCGGUCGGGCCCGUCUCCCGCCGCAGCGGGCGGCGGAGGCAAGCGGGGCGCGUCAGCAGAGGCUGGGGGCGCCGCCAUGGAACUCUGAGGCCUCUCCGCGGGCCGCGUCUCCGGGGCUGGCCGCCGGGAGUCGUAGUUCGGGGCUUUGCGCCGCACACUCGCUGGCGCGCCGUGCGGACUACAAGUCCCACAAGGCCGUGCGGCUGUGCGUGCCGGGACUCGUAGUCCGGCCUCACCCGCUGCGAGCGGGCGGACGGGAGUCGUCUGCGAAGAAAGAUCCCACCCCGAGCUUUACCAUAAACUCAGCAGCACAAAGCCCCUGGAAAAAAAUCAAUAAACAUUUAUUUGAUACAGUCA